rnacentral:misc_RNA from 1 species
GAAAUGCGUUACCUAGUGUGACCUGCAUUCACUCGUGAAUCACCGACAUCUUGAACGUAACUGACGGGCUGGGUUCAUUCCCGGCUCAAUCACGACCGAGUGUCAAUCUUAACCACAAAACUGAGUUCUUCGGUAAAUUUUUUUUCACCGUAACUUUAAACUUAACCGUUCUCACUUAACGUAUUAUCGGUAUUUUUACCCGUAUUAAGUUAAGCGAUAACUUUAUCGUACACACAAUAUGGAUUACCGUAUUACUCGGUAACAUUUGACCUCGACCGUGAUAGACUACCCGCUGAAUUUAA